CUUGAUAUGAAAUCAAGAUAACGUUUCAAUGUUUCUGAUUGAUAAAAUUUCAUUUUUCCUUGUUUGAUAAACGUGUACGAAAGGACCGAAAAAUAUAACAGCUUUUAAUUUGUGAAGCAGCUAAUGAAACUUUUGACGCCCUUGAGAGUUGAUGAAAGAUUCUUUAUUUUCCUAUUCCAAGGCCAUCCUUUCGUUAUCCUUAUAUUUCAGAAACUAAAUCACAAGUAUCAUUCGAGGGUAGAUCCUAUUUUACUAUCGGUGCAAAUGAAACGUACAGGACUUCAUAAGCAUUCGUUGAGUUCUUAGCAAUGGAUUAUGUAUGAAACACAGUAUUAAAUUGGAAAACGCGACUCAGUACUAAAAUAGAAGCGACGUCACUUCCCAAAAGAACCUCUCAUUUACUUUUUUAUUACGGGCAAGAAUAUUCAUGAUAACUCAAUACUUUGAACCUCGUUGGCCCCCGAUAACCAAACAACUUUAGCAUGUAACUUUUAGCUUGGGUUUCAACUCCAUACAACUGCUUAUCAGCACAAAGCAAGAAUCAUUUUAUAUUGGUUUCAAAACCUAAUUCAUUAAUGACAGUUGAGUGACAAAGACUCAAACCAUACUGGAGAAAUAUAUGUUGGUUAGAGUCAGUCGUAUGUUUGGAACUGGAGAUUUGAUCGGUCCAGCAGUUUAUGUCUUCUAACUUCAUUACGUACUAGAGAAUCUUGCGCAAACAAAUCAAAAUUCGGCAAUCGACAACCUUCAGUAAUUUCCAGCAGUUCGUCUUCUUCACUCUGUGUUAUUUCUAACUAAAUGCUUCUAUUGCGCUAGCCUAUACAUCUUGGCGCUUUCUUCGUUAGUACCACAUCCGUUCUGGUAAUAGUAUUCGCGAUCUAUAAUAUUUCAUCUGCUAUCAAAAACCCUUUGAAUGUGACAAAACAUCCGACCCGUGCCAAACUUACUGUCGGAUCUUCCGUUUUCGGAUAGAAUCCUUACAACGCCACCGCUCUGUGUGCAACGCAAGACACUUCAUAUGUCAUUCCACAGCUGCUAAAUUCACAAGCGUUGAUGGAAAAUUUGGUUUGAGGUUAAAGUUGAAUCUCAAAAUAUUUUCAAAUUCGCCAGCCUGCAUGGCUUCUUCGGCAAGUCUAUCUCUUUUAGUUAAACAUGCUCAACCAUCUAGGAAUGGAUAAGACUAAGCGAUGAUCACCUGCCUAAAACGCGAAACAAAAAUAAGUUUUGAGCCGAAAAAAGAUUUACCACUAGUGCAAGAUUCUAAAUAUAGAACUAACCCCGCGCUCAAUCUGAAAUAUAUAUAUAUAUAAUGUGCCUUGUAUGUUAAAUAUCAAUAUUACCUUUCACUAAAACUAAGUGAAGUUCUUGUGUGCUUAUUCGUCAUGAUAUAAAAUUUAAGUUUGUUUUAAAUCGUACUACAACAAAGAAACAAGUUUACAAUUAUAUUUAACGUGUACAUAAAUACAUUUAAUGCAGGAAUAACGCCUUUGACGACAUUCUCCGAAUGGCAUUUGGAAGUUCAGAUAGGAAUCAUGUCACAGACCACAGAUGUCUUUCUUGUCAUGACUGGAGACAGCUACACGAAAUUCAGUGCGUGAUCAAAAAAGAAAUUCAAAAUUUUCAACUGAUGAUGUGUUUUAAGUUAUGUUGCUGGUAGCGGAACUUCAGGAUGUGACAGCAAUGAAUAACAGUUAGAGAACAUUCUUAUAAAAAUGCGCUACAAUGCUCAUCAAAAGACGUGGCAUGAAAAGGGAGGAUCAAUUUUUCCUCAUGCUUAGAGCGACUUCCACUACCAAGCCAAGAUGAACACAAUAAUUCUGGCCCUGGAAGGUUUGAUUCUGGUAACUUGCUUUUUCCGAGCAGUGGAUGGUUUUUCACCUUACAUGACAAAGCCCAAGGGCGAUGUAAGUGGCCCUGAUGAUCGUCAGAUAAAGCGCCAUCCCAGCAGAUAUUACCAGAUUGAAAAAGAGGGUCGUAAGAGAGAGACUGAUGCUGAAACUAUCCUGCAGAAUGGAGGCGACAGCCAAGUACGCACGCGCAAGAAGCGACGUUCUUUCUCCUAUUUGACGCUCUGAUGCAAGUUGAUAUAAACCAUAAUGAUCUAAUAACAAAGGCUUUGAAAUAGUAGUUAUGCAGAAAAGUGAAUUAAUUCAAGCUCAAACUAGCUUAAGCAAUAUGAAUAGCCUCCGAAAAGAAAGGCAAGAGUUUUAUUUGCAGAAUUAUUAAAAAUAUUUGCAAUAUUAUAGAGAAAUAAAGUGGGACCUAAUAAAUUCA